rnacentral:rRNA from 1 species
UACGAAGGGUGCAAGCGUUGCUCGGAAUUAUUGGGCGUAAAGGGUUGGUAGGUGGUCUUGUUUGUCUAAGGUGAAAUCCCAGGGCUUAACCCUGGAAGUGCCUUAGAAACGGCAAGACUAGAGUUCUAGAGGGGUUUGUGGAAUUCCCGGUGUAGCGGUGAAAUGCGUAGAGAUCGGGAGGAACACCAGCGGCGAAGGCGGCAAACUGGAUAGAUACUGACACUCAACAACGAAAGCGUGGGGAGCAAAC